GGUCCAAUAGCACAGUGGUUAGUGUGCCUGCUUCAAGUUUGUCUGUAUCUCAUUUCUUAUAAGCAGGAGACCCUCGUUCGAUUCGGGGUUGGGCCA